rnacentral:rRNA from 1 species
AACGAACGCUGGCGGCAUGCCUAACACAUGCAAGUCGAACGAUAAAUGGGCUUCGGCCCAUGGAAAGUGGCGCACGGGUGAGUAAUACAUAGGAAUCUACCUUACACUGGGGGAUAGCAGUUAGAAAUGACUGAUAAUACCGCAUACGCCAUAUUGGGAAAGCUCCGGCGGUGUAAGAUGAGCCUAUGCCUGAUUAGCUAGUUGGUGGGGUAAAGGCCCACCAAGGCGACGAUCAGUAGCGGGUUUGAGAGGAUGAUCCGCCACACUGGUACUGAGAAACGGACCAGAAUCCUACGGAAGGCAGCAGUGGGGAAUAUUGCGCAAUGGAGGAAACUCUGACGCAGCAAUGCCGCGUGAACGAUGAAGGUCCUAGGAUUGUAAAGUUCUUUAAGCGAGGAGGAGGCUCUCUUAGUUAAUACCUAGGAAGAGUGGACGUUACUCGCAGAAUAAGCACCGGCUAACUCUGUGCCAGCAGCCGCCGUAAUAC